rnacentral:rRNA from 1 species
GACGUAGGGCGCGAGCGUUGUCCGGAUUUAUUGGGCGUAAAGAGCUCGUAGGCGGCUUGUUGCGUCGACCGUGAAAACCCGGGGCUCAACUUCGGGCUUGCGGUCGAUACGGGCGGGCUAGAGUUCGGUAGAGGGUAGUGGAAUUCCCGGUGUAGCGGUGAAAUGCGUAGAGAUCGGGAGGAACACCAGUGGCGAAGGCGGCUACCUGGACCAGCACUGACACUGAGGCACGAAAGCGUGGGGAGCAAACAGG